GUCCAGGAUCUCCAAAUCCAGUUUCUUUGAGGAUGACCUAAGGAAGGGGAGGGCUCAUCUGGAGGCAGAGGUUGCAGACCCAAAAUCAGCAGUCUGAAGUCCUCCUGGAAACAGUUGCCAACCACUCAGACGUGGGUUUGAUCACUGCCGGUGUGUACAGCUCUUCUCAGGAAGUCUGCAUGAGCCAUCAGAUGGAGCCACUAGGUGAUCCCAGCAUCUAGGGACACCUACAGAAUGUUUCAUCCCAAGGUGAGGAAGACAUGGAUGGCACCAAUGGCACAGUCUCAAGGGAGCCAACUUCUUGAUCCAAUUCCUGUGGCAAAGCAUGUUAUGCCAUGUCAGCUCAGCCAUGGGAGGAGUCCAUGUUUUAACUACUGGUCAGGUGCAAGUAUGAGAUAUUAGAUGCAAGCUCCUCUACCUUUUAUUUUCUGGCCUCCUAGAUAGUCAGAGUGGUAGGUAAUUAGGUGGGGACAUAAUUUAAUGAUUAAUAGCAAAUGCCAAGCAGUGCAACACAGGCACCUUGGGUAAGGACUGUGAGGACAGCAAGUUUUGCCUUUUACAAAGGGGUGCAGUAGGGUGAUUUUUUUUUUUUUUUUUAAAGAUUCAGUUGCAUGUCAGCAUAGCUCUGUGGUUAAACAUUGCCUAUGAAAUCCUACAUCAGUAAGACACAGUUAAAUCCGUGUCAUCUACCAAGAGAAAUGAGACAUUCCAUCAUGACUUGCAUACAUUAUAUUAAUUUUGUUAGUUCUUUGCUGGAGAGCGGAAAAAGAACAAAUAAUAAGAUGGUUGAUUACACAAUCCUGACAUUUGUCCACUUGCUGUUGCUUUUUUUGCCCCCUCUUUAGCCAAGAAAGACAUGAGCAUCAGGCAGCAGAUGGAUUUCCCUGAGGGACCUGAACUAGUGCCAUGCCACAGCCAACAGCUUCAGCCACUUGGAAAAAGUGCUGUGAUGCAUCUUCCAAAAACUGUUGCCAGGGCUUCAUAAUAUUUGAUAAUUAGACCAGGGUUGUUUACUGUAUGGUAGCAGCUACACUCAGUACAGACUUGUUCCUUUAUUAUGCACUGGUUCAAUCUGUUUGUGUAACACUUUACAUGUGGUGAUAAUGUCAGUAAAACAUCAGCUGUAGUGUACUCCUAUUUACUAAACUCUGAAUGUCUCUGUUUUGCUUUUUCCAGACUCCUGACGAUAGAUGGAUUUCAACUGUCUUUAGUUUUAAAAGAAAGAAAACCACUAUGUGUAAUUGAUUACUGUGAGAUCGGUCUAUUAUCCUACCUCAAAUCUGUCCCGUAAUCUUAUAAUACUUCACCCCAGCCUUUGUUCAUCGCCACCCUCAGCCGCCUUCUCCAUCAGCUGUUAGUCAGCACCUCCAUGUUUCUUCUCUGAGACAUCUACCCAAGGUGCCAGAGGCAGGUGCAGGAGACAGGCACAGCUGCUCAUGAUAGUUUUAACAUGAAUGCCAUGUUUUCCAAUUGUAAACUAUUACCAUCAUUUGUUUUCCUUAGUGAAAUGAAAACAACCAAAAAAGCGAA